rnacentral:miRNA from 1 species
ACAUAUGACAAUACAGUACAAGACGACCAGUGAUUAAUUAGGAGGUUGAACCUCCUAAUUAAUCACUGGUCGUCUUGUACUGUACUGUAUUGUCAUAUGUU